rnacentral:tRNA from 1 species
GCACUCGUAGCUCAGUUGGAUAGAGCAACGGACUUCUAAUCCGUGUGCCGGGGGUUCGAAUCCCUCCGGGUGCA